ACAUACGGGCAAAUCAUUUCAGCCUCCUAAAUCGCCUCCAUCUCUAUUCUCGUUCUCAACUCUAAACUUGCCCUCUCUCUGUCUCUGCGACUGCAAACUACAAAAUUUACAAGAAUCAGAUCAGCCUCCCAAAUUGCCUCUAUCUUUAUUCUCGUUCUCAACUCUGGACUUGCCCUCUCUCUGCCUCUAUAACUGCAAACUACAAAAUCUAUAAGAAUCAGAUCAGCCUCCCAAAUCACCUCUAUAUCUAUUCUCGUUCCCAACUCUGAACUUGCCCUUUCUCUGUCUCUGCAACUGCAAACUACAAAAUCUAUAAGAAUCAGAACCUAUAUCGGCAUAUCAUUUCAGAUUGUUCAAAAAAUCAAAACCCAUAUCCUUCAAUUUCCAUCGCCCGCUAUUCCAGUUCAGGUUCACCGUUCGCAAGCUUCAACCGCUGGCCCUCUUUCUCUCAACUCUCAAACCCCUCUCUCUGCAACUGCUAACUUUGAAAUUUUUUGCAGGAUUUGAAAGAUUAACUGGUAAAUUUGGGUUGAAACAAGCUGAAGGCCCUUAUUUAGGAUCCAUGACCAACAAUUUGUUAGGAACUUAGGAGCAGAACAACACCAUGACACUCGAAGUCUUCCAAAGGGGCUGGGAAAAGACAACAACGGGAGCGUGGAUUACAUGGCCAAUCAAGUACAUCAAAAUUUGUCAAAGCUAGGAUUGCGGUUGCCGUUACUUUUUUUGUUGCCGUUAUAUUUUUUGUAUGGCUCAUAAGGAAGUUGCAUAUAUGUAAUGGAAGAGAGAGACUGAAACAGAGCAAGAAGAUGUAAGAAUUUUUGUUUUAUUUUGGUAUAUGGUAUAAGAAGCAAGAAAUUUGUAUAUGGUUAAUUUUUGUAUAAAACAAUGAUUUGAAAUUUGUUAUAUAUAUAUGAUGUUGUUGGUUA